GUCGCAGUGGACUCUUGACGAAAGCAAUGGUGUUGCUACACAUCUUCCUUUGGGGCUGCUUGACAGAUUCGGUCUGAAGUAUGCCGUUGCCAGGACGGCUCCACUAUGACCAUCGCAAGACACAGUCGGGCAUUGCGUUGAUUCACUCGUGAAGAGGGCUUUUACCACCAUAUUGCCUCGUUGCUUCUGCUAAGGUUCGGCCUAGACUCUAUCCUUCUCUGAACGGUUCCAGCAUGACUGAUUCACGGUCGAGUGGGGCAUUUGGGAUUAGGCUUCUCGAGAUAACAACUGUUGCCACCAGAAUGCCUUGGUGAUUCUUCUCAG